rnacentral:lncRNA from 1 species
AUCUACUGCACGUAUGGAAGAAGCAUGUGGAGAGUUGACGGCUGUGAGCUGGCCUACUUAUGAAGUCAGGAACAAGUGUUUGUUGACAAUGCGAUGACUCGAUCAAGUUCGUGGUUCUAUGAUGAAAGAAGUUUCAGGCAACAUGCAAAGCUAUGUCUCACACUGAGGUGAAAGGAAGACUUUUGAAAGUUUUCCUCUAAAUCUCAUUAAGCAGGCAAAGAGUAUCCACAGGAAGAAAAAAAGAGAGAUCACUGGACCCAGGGCUGGCUUCACAGGUCCUUCUAGUUGUGGGAUGUGGGAUGCCACCUCAACGUGGCCUGACGAUCGGUGCCAUGUCCGCACCCAGGAUCCGAACCCUGGGCCACCACAGCAGAGCUUGUGAACUUAACCACUCGGCCAUGGAGCAGGCCCCUCAUUUGGAUUUUUUCAUUCCCCAGAGUUCUGCAUACAACUCAUGUCUUCCAUGAAGGUUUUAUGAAGAGCUCUGCUUCAGCUAAAAAAGAACUCUCU